rnacentral:rRNA from 1 species
CGUAGGGUGCAAGCGUUAAUCGGAAUUACUGGGCGUAAAGCGUGCGCAGGCGGUUAUGCAAGACAGAUGUGAAAUCCCCGGGCUCAACCUGGGAACUGCAUUUGUGACUGCAUAGCUAGAGUACGGUAGAGGGGGAUGGAAUUCCGCGUGUAGCAGUGAAAUGCGUAGAUAUGCGGAGGAACACCGAUGGCGAAGGCAAUCCCCUGGACCUGUACUGACGCUCAUGCACGAAUGCGUGGGGAGCAAACAGGAUUAGAUACCCUGGUAGUCCACGCCCUAAACGAUGUCAACUGGUUGUUGGGAGGGUUUCUUCUCAGUAACGUAGCUAACGCGUGAAGUUGACCGCCUGGGGAGUACGGCCGCAAGGUUG